rnacentral:rRNA from 1 species
CGCCCGCUCAGAAACUCAAAUGAAUUGACGGGGACCCGCACAAGCGGUGGAUGAUGUGGAUUAAUUCGAUGCAAACGCGAAAAACCUUACCUACCCUUGACAUGCCAGGAACUUGCCAGAGAUGGCUUGGUGCCCGAAAGGGAGCCUGGACACAGGUGCUGCAUGGCUGUCGUCAGCUCGUGUCGUGAGAUGUUGGGUUAAGUCCCGCAACGAGCGCAACCCUUGCCAUUAGUUGCUACAUUUAGUUGAGCACUCUAAUGGGACUGCCGGUGACAAACCGGAGGAAGGUGGGGAUGACGUCAAGUCCUCAUGGCCCUUAUGGGUAGGGCUUCACACGUCAUACAAUGGCGGAUACAGAGGGUUGCCAACCCGCGGAGGGGGAGCCAAUCCCAGAAAGUCCGUCGUAGUCCGGAUUGUAGUCUGCAACUCGACUACAUGAAGUCGGAAUCGCUAGUAAUCGCGGAUCACGCAUGUACGCGGUGAAUACGUUCCCGGGCCUU